CCUACGGGUGGCAGCAGUGAGGAAUAUUGGUCAAUGGGCGCGAGCCUGAACCAGCCAAGUAGCGUGAAGGAUGACUGCCCUACGGGUUGUAAACUUCUGUUAUAAAGGAAUAAAGUGAGGCACGUGUGCCGUGUUGUAUGUACUUUAUGAAUAAGGAUCGGCUAACUCCGUGCCAGCAGCCGCGGUAAUACGGAGGAUCCGAGCGUUAUCCGGAUUUAUUGGGGUGAAAGGGAGCGUAGAGGGGUUGUUAAGUCAGUGGUGAAAGUUUGCGGCUCAACCGUAAAAUUGCAAUGGAUACGGGCAGUCUUGAGUACAGUUGCGGUCGGCGGACUUCGUGGUGUAGCGG
rnacentral:rRNA from 1 species